rnacentral:lncRNA from 1 species
GAACUUUACCUUCCAAGAAUCAGUUUGUAAUUCAUGUUCUUUUCAAUGGAUUCGUGUUCUGUUUUACUAGCUAUGAGUGGCUAGUUUAUUUACGCUUAGUUAGACACUUAUGAAACCGAGCACAAGUGAUUUAAAAAUUUAUUUUGUUCUAAAAUCAAAUUUGGCAUUCUUGAAUUGUUUGAUUUUAUCUUCCAAAGAAUUUUUUUCCUGAUUCAAUU